ACUUUUUAAUGGAAACAACAUGACCAAAAAUCUGUCACAGAAUUUUGAGACCCAUUAAAAUAACAAAGUUUAAUGAGAAACCUGUGUGUUCUUUUGGUCAACACUGUAACUUUCUGUUAUACUACUUAGGUAAAAGACUUCAGAGUUGCCCAUGACCUAUUUCCAGUGUUAUAUCUGCUGAUAUUUACAAUUGGAUGGUUCUGUUAACAUUUUUUUCUGGGUGGGAACUUCGGGGUUUUUUGUGGGAUUUUUUUCCCCACUGAAUUGCCUGUCUCUUCAUGGUAAAAGCUAUGGGAAAGGGGGACUGUUGGUAUAACACUAAAUAGGUUAGGACAGGUAAGCAAAGAGUAACUUUUUGUUUGUAAGCUAGUUUCGAAAGGCCAAAUUCUGUAAAGGCCACAUGUUAACAUAAAAUUUUGUAGUUACAUCAAUAUUGAGUAAAUUUGUUGGUAUGUCAAAUUUUAGUUUUCCAGUUUUACUGGAAUGUGAAUUCACAUUUACAAAUGCUGAGGUAGUUUAAGAACCUAAAGUGAGGUUUGAAUAGUAUUGAGCACUGUCUUGCUGCAGUUAUUGUAUCCAAAUUCUAGGAAAAAUAAAUUGAUGGUAGAAUUUGAGUGUGUUUUGUCACUUAAAUGCUUCAAAGUCCACUUCCAAUAGGAAUUUUCAUCUAAAGUUGGAGAAAUACUGCCACAUUGGAGAUUAGACAGUUUGAGGUAUGGUGGCAGAUUGCUCUGAUUUGAAAUUUUGCUCAGUGCCACUUUAAAAGAUAACCUUACUGAAAAUUAGGUUCUAAAAUGUGACAGUUGGGUAGGAUGUAAGAAAGCACUUUUAAACUAGCUGGGGUAAUUUGCAUGCAGUGAUGGUUUAUAGUUGAUGUUUGCUUGAGUGGUAGCCAUCUAGUUUUUGAUAGUUGGUAAAUCAAAGCACAGAAAAGGAAUUCCACAAAUCUGAAAAUUUUAAUUCUAUGUAAUAGUAUCCAGCUCAAAGUGGCAAAAUCAGACAGCUUGUAUAUUAAUUGUAUCCUGUUAGGUAAUGACUUUCAAAUAGAUAGCAAUUUGUGAAGUUUUGGGGGUUUUUUUUUUGCCUUCGUCGAAAUUAUGUAUGUCCCCCUUUUCCCCCAUUGAUCUCCACCCAAGACUGAAGCUUUGCCCCAGGUGGUUUGUCUUGGUGAAUAUAGUGUUGGCCUACAAAGGUUUCGGGUUUGGUUCUGGUCAAGGGCACAUGCCAGGUUUACUGGCUUAAUCCCCAGUAGGGGGCGGGCAGGAGGCAAUUUAAUGAUUAUCAUUGAUGUUUCUCUCUGAAAUAAAAAUAUUUCUUGAAUUAGGUAGGCCUUGACAGUACUAGCUGAGACAUUUGAGGGGUGUGAAAAGGCUAAAAUUUCUCUAGUUCAUGAGGGAAGUAGCCCCCUUAAGUUUUUUGUAAUUUGCUUAUUUGUACAGGUGAGAAAAAAUUGGCCAGCUUAAGCGGUAGCUGAUAUAAAAACAAAUUUGUCACAGCUGUAGGAUUUACUAGAAUAAGAUUGUUCCAGCCCCCCCCCGCAAUGUUUAACUGCAGAGAGCACCACUAUUUGAAAGGGUAGGAAGGAGGGUGACCAGAAACCGGGUAUCUGUAGGCUUGCCAAGACAAUUGCCUGGUUUUGAGCACCACCUACUGGUCACUACAAACUAGUUUUACAUUCAUGAACAAAGUUAAAUUUUUGUUCUGAGGUUCUACACUAAUGGCAUUUCGUUGUGUUGUCAUCAAUGUAAAGAUCUCAAGAUCCUGUUGAAAUUCCCGGGAAUUCUGGUGUUUUUAGGAUAUGGAAAAGGGCAUUCAGGUGUUAAACAUAGAUUGCCUUUAAGGCAUAUCUUUUUAACAUCUUAAGCCCAAAACAGUCAAUGCAGUAUAACCAGAUUUUUUUAUCAUUUCAGAACACAAUUUAUGCCCUCCCCUUCCCUAAUUUACCUCCCAAGUUUCAGGUGCAUCAAGAACUCAGCUUUCUGGAUCAAGGACCCAGUCUGGUGAUGACAAUUCUGAUCUAACAUGUAACCCAGUCUCUGCUCUUUUUUAGUCUCUGAUUUUGUCAUGAAGAAUGCAUAUGGUUUUAGUGACAGCAUUUAUAUCUUCCUGUGGUGAUUCUAGAAGACUUAAUUCAACCAGAGGUUUUGAUUUGUAGAUAUCCCUGGCCCUGAUCAGAUUACUUGCAGCUAACUAAAAGUUCCCCCAUGGCACUAUUAGACAACUAAAAUCACCUUA